GCGCGAAACCUUUACAAUGCGCGAAAGCGUGAUAAGGGAACUCUGAGUGGCAGCCGGCUUUUGCCGACUGUCUUUUGCCAACCCUAAACCGGUUGGAGAAUAAGUUCUGGGUAAGACCAGUGCCAGCCGCCAUGUGCUAUUUGCACAAUGCGCACGGUACGCGGUAAUACUGGCAGAACGAGUGGUGCCCACGAAUAUUGGGUCUAAAGAGACCGUAGCUGGCCUGUUAAGUCCACUGUGAAAUCUUGGGGCUCAACCUCAAGGCGUGCAGUGGAUACUGGCAGGCUUGAGAGCGGGGGAGGUCAGGAGUACUUACGGGGUAUGGGUAAAAUCAGUUGAUCCUGUAAGGACUACCAGUGGCGAAGGCGCCUGACCAAAACGCGUCUGACAGUGAGGGUCGAAGGCUAGGAGAACGAAUCGGAUUAGAUACCCAAGUAGUCCCUGAGCGGGCUGGCAAGGCGCAU
rnacentral:rRNA from 1 species